GAACGCACAUUGCGCCCCUUGGUAUCCCGAGGGGCAUGCCUGUUCGAGCGUCAUUUCACCACUCAAGCCUGGCUUGGUGUUGGGCGACGUCCCCUUUGGGGACGCGCCUCGAAACGCUCGGCGGCGUGGCACCGGCUUUAAGCGUAGCAGAAUCUUUCGCUUUGGAAGUCGGGGCCCCGUCUGCCGGAAGACCUACUCGCAAGGUUGACCUCGGAUCAGGCAGGGAUACCCGCUGAACUUAAG
rnacentral:misc_RNA from 1 species